UACAGAGGGCUCAAGCGUUGUUCGGAUUCAUUGGGCGUAAAGGGUGCGUAGGCGGCGCGGUAAGUCGGGUGUGAAAUCUUGGAGCUUAACUCCGAAACUGCAUUCGAUACUGCCGUGCUUGAGGACUGGAGAGGAGACUGGAAUUUACGGUGUAGCGGUGAAAUGCGUAGAUAUCGUAAGGAAGACCAGUGGCGAAGGCGGGUCUCUGGACAGUUCCUGACGCUGAGGCACGAAGGUGAGGGGAGCAAACGGG
rnacentral:rRNA from 1 species